rnacentral:rRNA from 1 species
UUUGGUGGCGAUGGCGAAGAGGUCACACCCGUUCCCAUUCCGAACACGGAAGUUAAGUUCUUCAGCGCCGAUGGUAGUUGGGGGUUUCCCCCUGUGAGAGUAGGACGUUGCCAGGC